ACACCCCGGGCGGAUGGUUACAUCUGUAUUGAUAGAGAAGUGGAGACUCCACAAACGCAAAAUGUUGAUACUUUGGAGACUCCACAAACGCCUGAUGUGUGUUCACCAAAUCCAUGUCUACACGGUGGAAGUUGUGUUCAAGCCAACAUUGAAUUGAGCGCAGGGUAUUUAUGCUUC